rnacentral:lncRNA from 1 species
GUGACGGUGAUAGUGUUAUGAUGGGCAAUCACACUAGUUGUAAGAUAGUCAGUGUUGGAAUAGUAAAAAUAAAGUAUUUGAUAGUGUGGUGAGUACGUUGACGAAUGUGAGACACAUUCCAGAUCUCAGGUUGAGUUUGAUAUCAUUUGGUAUUUUUGACUCUAUUGGUUGUUCUAUUGGCAUUUUAGGUGGAAUUGUUAAGGUGAAAAAGGAUGUCCUGGUUGUAAUGAAGGGAGAGAAGAAAGAAAAUUUAUAUAGGCUGAUCGGCUCUAGUGACUUCGAAAGGUGGUGUAUAGUAUUUUAUUAUAGUAAUCGCUGAUUUCUUUCAUAAAAUUUAGAUUUUUUUUAUGAAGAAAAAGUCUAACGUAUUUAUAAAGUUUAGACAUUGGUAGAAGGAGAUG